GCACGCAUAGUCAGGGAACGGGACAUACCCAUAUUCGUAGUCGUUGGCUUCAGAAGAAUGCUUCACGUUCCCCUCCUGACGCGUGCA
rnacentral:tRNA from 1 species